rnacentral:rRNA from 1 species
UAAAGAGUUCGUAGGCGGUUCGUUAAGUCUGAUGUUAAAUACUGGGGCUCAACCCUGGAACUGCAUUGGAUACUGGCGGACUGGAGUGCAGUAGAGGCGAGUGGAAUUCCCAGUGUAGCGGUGAAAUGCGUAGAUAUUGGGAAGAACACCGGUGGCGUAAGCGACUCGCUGGGCUGUAACUGACGCUGAGGAACGAAAGCUAGGGGAGCAAAUGGGAUUAGAUACCCUGGUAGUCCACGCUGUAAACGAUGGAUGCUAGCCGUUGGUGGGUUUACCCUUCAGUGGCGCAGCUAACGCAUUAAGCAUCCCGCCUGGGGAGUACGGUCGCAAGAUUAAAACUCAAAGGAAUUGACGGGGACCCGCACAAGCGGUGGAUGAUGUGGAUUAAUUCGAUGCAACGCGAAAAACCUUACCUACCCUUGACAUGCCCGGAAACCUGGUGAGAGCUGGGGGUGCCCGAAAGGGAACCGGGACACAGGUGCUGCAUGGCUGUCGUCAGCUCGUGUCGUGAGAUGUUGGGUUAAGUCCCGCAACGAGCGCAACCCCCAUCACUAGUUGCCAUCAGGUAACGCUGGGAACUCUAAAGAAACUGCCGUCGUAAGACGCGAGGAAGGAGGGGAUGAUGUCAAGUCAUCAUGGCCUUUAUGCCCAGGGCUACACACGUGCUACAAUGGGGCGUACAAAGGGCUGCCACUUAGCGAUAAGGAGCCAAUCCCAAAAAACGCCUCUCAGUUCAGAUCGCAGUCUGCAACUCGACUGCGUGAAGCUGGAAUCGCUAGUA